rnacentral:tRNA from 1 species
ACUGCAAUAGCUCAGUUGGUAGACCGUCAGACUAUAAAUCGAAAGGUCCUUGGUUCGAUCACCGGUUCCGGCA